rnacentral:rRNA from 1 species
UUAAGCGACUAAGCGUACACGGUGGAUGCCCUGGCAGUCAGAGGCGAUGAAGGACGUGCUAAUCUGCGAUAAGCGUCGGUAAGGUGAUAUGAACCGUUAUAACCGGCGAUUUCCGAAUGGGGAAACCCAGUGUGAUUCGUCACACUAUCAUUAACUGAAUCCAUAGGUUAAUGAGGCGAACCGGGGGAACUGAAACAUCUAAGUACCCCGAGGAAAAGAAAUCAACCGAGAUUCCCCCAGUAGCGGCGAGCGAACGGGGAGCAGCCCAGAGCCUGAAUCAGUGUGUGUGUUAGUGGAAGCGUCUGGAAAGGCGCGCGAUACAGGGUGACAGCCCCGUACACAAAAAUGCACAUGCUGUGAGCUCGAUGAGUAGGGCGGGACACGUGGUAUCCUGUCUGAAUAUGGGGGGACCAUCCUCCAAGGCUAAAUACUCCUGACUGACCGAUAGUGAACCAGUACCGUGAGGGAAAGGCGAAAAGAACCCCGGCGAGGGGAGUGAAAAAGAACCUGAAACCGUGUACGUACAAGCAGUGGGAGCACGCUUAGGCGUGUGACUGCGUACCUUUUGUAUAAUGGGUCAGCGACUUAUAUUCUGUAGCAAGGUUAACCGAAUAGGGGAGCCGAAGGGAAACCGAGUCUUAACUGGGCGUUAAGUUGCAGGGUAUAGACCCGAAACCCGGUGAUCUAGCCAUGGGCAGGUUGAAGGUUGGGUAACACUAACUGGAGGACCGAACCGACUAAUGUUGAAAAAUUAGCGGAUGACUUGUGGCUGGGGGUGAAAGGCCAAUCAAACCGGGAGAUAGCUGGUUCUCCCCGAAAGCUAUUUAGGUAGCGCCUCGUGAAUUCAUCUCCGGGGGUAGAGCACUGUUUCGGCAAGGGGGUCAUCCCGACUUACCAACCCGAUGCAAACUGCGAAUACCGGAGAAUGUUAUCACGGGAGACACACGGCGGGUGCUAACGUCCGUCGUGAAGAGGGAAACAACCCAGACCGCCAGCUAAGGUCCCAAAGUCAUGGUUAAGUGGGAAACGAUGUGGGAAGGCCCAGACAGCCAGGAUGUUGGCUUAGAAGCAGCCAUCAUUUAAAGAAAGCGUAAUAGCUCACUGGUCGAGUCGGCCUGCGCGGAAGAUGUAACGGGGCUAAACCAUGCACCGAAGCUGCGGCAGCGACGCUUAUGCGUUGUUGGGUAGGGGAGCGUUCUGUAAGCCUGCGAAGGUGUGCUGUGAGGCAUGCUGGAGGUAUCAGAAGUGCGAAUGCUGACAUAAGUAACGAUAAAGCGGGUGAAAAGCCCGCUCGCCGGAAGACCAAGGGUUCCUGUCCAACGUUAAUCGGGGCAGGGUGAGUCGACCCCUAAGGCGAGGCCGAAAGGCGUAGUCGAUGGGAAACAGGUUAAUAUUCCUGUACUUGGUGUUACUGCGAAGGGGGGACGGAGAAGGCUAUGUUGGCCGGGCGACGGUUGUCCCGGUUUAAGCGUGUAGGCUGGUUUUCCAGGCAAAUCCGGAAAAUCAAGGCUGAGGCGUGAUGACGAGGCACUACGGUGCUGAAGCAACAAAUGCCCUGCUUCCAGGAAAAGCCUCUAAGCAUCAGGUAACAUCAAAUCGUACCCCAAACCGACACAGGUGGUCAGGUAGAGAAUACCAAGGCGCUUGAGAGAACUCGGGUGAAGGAACUAGGCAAAAUGGUGCCGUAACUUCGGGAGAAGGCACGCUGAUAUGUAGGUGAAGUCCCUCGCGGAUGGAGCUGAAAUCAGUCGAAGAUACCAGCUGGCUGCAACUGUUUAUUAAAAACACAGCACUGUGCAAACACGAAAGUGGACGUAUACGGUGUGACGCCUGCCCGGUGCCGGAAGGUUAAUUGAUGGGGUUAGCGGUAACGCGAAGCUCUUGAUCGAAGCCCCGGUAAACGGCGGCCGUAACUAUAACGGUCCUAAGGUAGCGAAAUUCCUUGUCGGGUAAGUUCCGACCUGCACGAAUGGCGUAAUGAUGGCCAGGCUGUCUCCACCCGAGACUCAGUGAAAUUGAACUCGCUGUGAAGAUGCAGUGUACCCGCGGCAAGACGGAAAGACCCCGUGAACCUUUACUAUAGCUUGACACUGAACAUUGAGCCUUGAUGUGUAGGAUAGGUGGGAGGCUUUGAAGUGUGGACGCCAGUCUGCAUGGAGCCGACCUUGAAAUACCACCCUUUAAUGUUUGAUGUUCUAACGUUGACCCGUAAUCCGGGUUGCGGACAGUGUCUGGUGGGUAGUUUGACUGGGGCGGUCUCCUCCUAAAGAGUAACGGAGGAGCACGAAGGUUGGCUAAUCCUGGUCGGACAUCAGGAGGUUAGUGCAAUGGCAUAAGCCAGCUUGACUGCGAGCGUGACGGCGCGAGCAGGUGCGAAAGCAGGUCAUAGUGAUCCGGUGGUUCUGAAUGGAAGGGCCAUCGCUCAACGGAUAAAAGGUACUCCGGGGAUAACAGGCUGAUACCGCCCAAGAGUUCAUAUCGACGGCGGUGUUUGGCACCUCGAUGUCGGCUCAUCACAUCCUGGGGCUGAAGUAGGUCCCAAGGGUAUGGCUGUUCGCCAUUUAAAGUGGUACGCGAGCUGGGUUUAGAACGUCGUGAGACAGUUCGGUCCCUAUCUGCCGUGGGCGCUGGAGAAUUGAGGGGGGCUGCUCCUAGUACGAGAGGACCGGAGUGGACGCAUCACUGGUGUUCGGGUUGUCAUGCCAAUGGCACUGCCCGGUAGCUAAAUGCGGAAGAGAUAAGUGCUGAAAGCAUCUAAGCACGAAACUUGCCCCGAGAUGAGUUCUCCCUGACUCCUUGAGAGUCCUGAAGGAACGUUGAAGACGACGACGUUGAUAGGCCGGGUGUGUAAGCGCAGCGAUGCGUUGAGCUAACCGGUACUAAUGAACCGUGAGGCUUAACCU